rnacentral:rRNA from 1 species
AUUGAACGCUGGCGGCAUGCCUUACACAUGCAAGUCGAACGGCAGCGCGGGAGCAAUCCUGGCGGCGAGUGGCGAACGGGUGAGUAAUACAUCGGAACGUGCCCAAUCGUGGGGGAUAACGCAGCGAAAGCUGUGCUAAUACCGCAUACGAUCUACGGAUGAAAGCAGGGGAUCGCAAGACCUUGCGCGAAUGGAGCGGCCGAUGGCAGGUUAGGUAGUUGGUGAGGUAAAGGCUCACCAAGCCUUCGAUCUGUAGCUGGUCUGAGAGGACGACCAGCCACACUGGGAGUGAGACACGGCCCAGACUCCUACGGGAGGCAGCAGUGGGGAAUUUUGGACAAUGGGCGAAAGCCUGAUCCAGCCAUGCCGCGUGCAGGAUGAAGGCCUUCGGGUUGUAAACUGCUUUUGUACGGAACGAAACGGUCUUUUCUAAUAAAGAAGGCUAAUGACGGUACCGUACGAAUAAGCACCGGCUAACUACGUG